GGGGUCCGCGCUUUAAGCCGCGGCUCGCGCCCGUCUCUGGAGCUCCUUUAAGCAGCGCUCUCAAUCCCCUCUCCUCGCGCACCAGGAAACAAAGAGGUGCAUCUCAGCAGAGGAACAUGCGGCUCUUAUCUGGUGGCGGGUUUAUCUCACUCAGCAUAACAUCCUCCAGGUCCAGACUUCUCCCUGGACUCCCUCCCGGCCAGCUGUGGCGCACUAACCCCCUGCAG